rnacentral:pre_miRNA from 1 species
ACUUUAACAUGGAGGUGCUUUCUGUGUCUACAAAAAAGUAAGUGCUUCCAUGUUUUAGUAG